GGCUGGACCAAUGGCAGUGGGUUAUCAGAACUUAUUAACAUUAGUGUCACUAAAGUUGGUAUACAACCCCCCCCCCCCCCGGCUAAAUUUGACUGGCUUAAA
ensembl:misc_RNA Y_RNA Y RNA